rnacentral:rRNA from 1 species
UGGGGAAUAUUGGACAAUGGGCGCAAGCCUGAUCCAGCCAUGCCGCGUGAGUGAUGAAGGCCCUAGGGUUGUAAAGCUCUUUCACCGGUGAAGAUAAUGACGGUAACCGGAGAAGAAGCCCCGGCUAACUUCGUGCCAGCAGCCGCGGUAAUACGAAGGGGGCUAGCGUUGUUCGGAUUUACUGGGCGUAAAGCGCACGUAGGCGGACUAUUAAGUCAGGGGUGAAAUCCCGGGGCUCAACCCCGGAACUGCCUUUGAUACUGGUAGUCUUGAGUUGGGGAGAGGUGGGUGGAAUUCCGAGUGUAGAGGUGAAAUUCGUAGAUAUUCGGAGGAACACCAGUGGCGAAGGCGGCUCACUGGCUCGAUACUGACGCUGAGGUGCGAAAGCGUGGGGAGCAAACAGG